rnacentral:rRNA from 1 species
GACGAACGCUGGCGGCGUGCUUAACACAUGCAAGUCGAACGGAAAGGCCCUGCUUUUGUGGGGUGCUCGAGUGGCGAACGGGUGAGUAACACGUGAGUAACCUGCCCUUGACUUUGGGAUAACUUCAGGAAACUAGGGCUACUACCGGAUAGGAGCUCCUGCUGCAUGGUGGGGGUUGGAAAGUUUCGGCGGUUGGGGAUGGACUCGCGGCUUAUCAGCUUGUUGGUGGGGUAGUGGCUUACCAAGGCUUUGACGGGUAGCCGGCCUGAGAGGGUGACCGGCCACAUUGGGACUGCGAUACGGACCAGACUCCUACGGGAGGCAGCAGUGGGGAAUAUUGCACAAUGGGCGGAAGCCUGAUGCAGCAACGCCGCGUGCGGGAUGACGGCCUUCGGGUUGUAAACCGCUUUCGCCUGUGACGAAGCGUGAGUGACGGUAAUGGGUAAAGAAGCACCGGCUAACUACGUG